rnacentral:rRNA from 1 species
GAUGAACGCUGGCGGCGUGCCUAAUACAUGCCAGUCGAGCGAACAGACGAGGAGCUUGCUCCUCUGACGUUAGCGGCGGACGGGUGAGUAACACGUGGAUAACCUACCUAUAAGACUGGGAUAACUUCGGGAAACCGGAGCUAAUACUGGAUAAUAUAUUGAACCGCAUGGUUCAAUAGUGAAAGACGGUUUUGCUGUCACUUAUAGAUGGAUCCGCGCCGCAUUAGCUAGUUGGUAAGGUAACGGCUUACCAAGGCGACGAUGCGUAGCCGACCUGAGAGGGUGAUCGGCCACACUGGAACUGAGACACGGUCCAGACUCCUACGGGAGGCAGCAGUAGGGAAUCUUCCGCAAUGGGCGAAAGCCUGACGGAGCAACGCCGCGUGAGUGAUGAAGGUCUUCGGAUCGUAAAACUCUGUUAUUAGGGAAGAACAAAUGUGUAAGUAACUAUGCACGUCUUGACGGUACCUAAUCAGAAAGCCACGGCUAACUACGUG